AACGAACGCUGGCGGCAUGCCUAACACAUGCAAGUCGAACGAGACCUUCGGGUCUAGUGGCGCACGGGUGCGUAACGCGUGGGAACCUGCCCUUAGGUUCGGAAUAACUCCCCGAAAGGGGUGCUAAUACCGGAUAAUGUCUUCGGACCAAAGAUUUAUCGCCUUUGGAUGGGCCCGCGUUGGAUUCGCUAGUUGGUAGGGUAAAAGCCUCCCACGGCGACGAUCCAUAGCUGGGUUGAGAGGAUGAUCAGCCACACUGGGACUGAGACACGGCCCAGACUCCUACGGGAGGGAGCAGUGGGUAAUAGUGGACAAUGGGGGAAAGGCUGAUCCAGCAAUGCCGCGUGAGUGAUGAAGGCCUUAGGGUUGUAAAGCUCUUUUACCCGGGAUGAUAAUGACAGUACCGGGAGAAUAAGCUCCGGCUAACUCCGUG
rnacentral:rRNA from 1 species